AUGAAGUCCUGUGUCAUACAAUGGCAAGUGCAAAUGGGACAUUUCAACUAUAUUAAAGAGCAAAGCAAAAGAGGCAAGAACAGUGGUCAGAAUGCCGCUCACAGUUACAGUUACCUCGUACAUGCUUAUUUUAUUCAGGUGAGUGCUCAAGCCUCAGGAGUCCAAAAAAGAAACCAGACUCAUAGGCAGCAUCAUUUCCUAAAGUCACAUUCUCACCCAUGUCCUGUAGACCCUCCGAAGUCACACAAAGAAGCAAGAUCCAUAUCAUCUACUUCUGUCACCCAAGAGCAGCAUUUUCUCAGAUCCAGGGGAUGAUCUGCGAGAAGAACUUCCUGGUGUUGGUUAACAUCAUCACCAUGUCCAAGAUGCUGACUGGAAAAUAGGAUUAAACACUAUUACAUGGAACUUUCCAUAACUUGGAUGCCAAUAACCCCAAUUUUCAUUCUGUCUCUUUCCUUGAUUUUCUACCUCAUGCAAUAUUUUACCACCAUUUUUAGGUACAUGGUAGUACUUCACAGGUUAUUGACAUCCUAAAUAUAUGUAAAGUUUUUUCACACAGGACUAUGAGGUUCAGAAUUAUCCUGGUGGGUGUCCCAAGGCCUGUGGCUGUAUCCAGCUUCCUGUGCUCACAUACCAGAGUGCCAGGGUUUUAAAAGGAAGUAGAAAGCCAAAGACUAACAAUCACCGUGCAACCCCCUUAGGUGAAGAGGAUGGUACUGGUGCCAGAGACAUCUCCGCUCUCUAUCUUCCCCUGAGUGCCUUCUAUUUGUGACUCUGGGCCCUAAGGAAACCCUCCCCAACUCCCACUUCGUCUCGUUUUGCCCAUGGCCUAGCAACCUGGAGCUGCUCCUCUGCGUUCUUGACCUGGCCUCCCACUGUAGCCCCCAUCAACAUCUAAAUAUUCAACGUUGGCCCCUUAGCCUCGUCCUCUUAGAUUAAUCCCCCACAAGUUGGCUCAGCAAGGAGAACGUCAACUCCUUCAACAUACUGUAGAAAGAUUUGUAAUGUCACAGGCAUUUGAAAGGAAGUGGUAGGGCACCAGUUAAGCUUGAAAUGAACUUAAACACAAUCCCACUACAGAGUGUCCCUCUAAUUGAGAUUAUUGUCCCCAAAUGAAUACGGCAUUCAGCACCAUUCUAGAUAUUUUUA
rnacentral:lncRNA from 1 species